rnacentral:piRNA from 1 species
CAACAAGCUUUUUAGGGGGGUCU